UACGUAGGGGGCAAGCGUUGUCCGGAUUUAUUGGGCGUAAAGAGCGUGUAGGCGGCUUUGCAAGUCCGUUGUGAAAACUCGAGGCUCAACCUCGGGCUUGCAGUGGAUACGGGCAGACUAGAGUGCGGUAGGGGAGACUGGAAUUCCUGGUGUAGCGGUGGAAUGCGCAGAUAUCAGGAGGAACACCGAUGGCGAAGGCAGGUCUCUGGGCCGCAACUGACGCUGAGGAGCGAAAGCAUGGGGAGCGAACAGG
rnacentral:rRNA from 1 species